rnacentral:tRNA from 1 species
UCUUUUUUGGCGGAAUAGGUAAACGCUUGAGUUUUAAAAACUCAUCUCUUUAGAGUUUAGGGUUCGAAUCCCUAAAAAAGAA